UAAAUACAAGACUUGGCUACGAUUCCGACGGAAUAUUAUCUUGAAGAUUAAAUACUUUUCUUAAAAGGAAUUUAAUUGAUUAACUAUGUUAUUUAUAAUUGUUUAAUAUUUUACGAAGUAAAUCAUUGUCGUCUGUCAGAAAAAUCGUUUGUGAUGAAAAUAUAAAUUUAAAUAAUUUUAUACCGUGAUAUCUUAUUAUGUAUAUAUGUAUAUGAAACACAAUAACUGUUGCAUUUAGUCAGUGAAUAUACAGUUAUGUGACUACUUCGUGGAUGAUAAUAUAAGAUUUUUCUCUGACAGUUAACAGUGUAACGUAGCAUAAGCCAGUGAAUUAUCGACUGACAAAUAAAAUCUGAUAAUAAAUUGAUUUUCUUAAGGCCCGGUCGAUCUAAAGAUACGCUUUAGUUUACAUAUAUUAAAAGAAAAACUAUUCAAUAAUGUCAAAAAAGCCUGGAGCUACUCAAGCCAUGCAUAAAGUUAUUAUGGUUGGAAGUGGAGGUGUUGGAAAAUCUGCUCUAACUUUACAAUUUAUGUAUGAUGAGUUUGUUGAAGAUUAUGAACCAACAAAGGCAGAUUCCUAUAGGAAAAAAGUUGUAUUAGAUGGAGAGGAAGUACAAAUAGAUAUCUUAGAUACAGCAGGACAAGAAGAUUAUGCGGCGAUUCGAGAUAAUUAUUUUCGCAGUGGAGAAGGAUUUCUUUGUGUAUUUUCUAUAACAGAAGAUGACAGUUUUCAAGCAACACAGGAAUUUAGAGAACAGAUUCUCAGAGUAAAAAAUGACGAGAACAUUCCAUUUUUAUUAGUGGGAAAUAAAAGUGACCUACAAGAGAAAAGGAAAGUCAGUUUGGCAGAAGCACAAGCCCGGUCACAGCAAUGGGGUGUACCUUAUGUAGAAACAAGUGCAAAAACAAAGGAAAAUGUUGAUAAGAAGCAUUUAACUGACCAUAAAAUGGGUUUAUAACCAAAUUAAUCAUAAGGAAAUGGGAAGGGAAUAUUGCUAAGUUCGCUAUCACUUUUGAAACUUUACUUUCACUGGUAAUAUGGAAUACAAAAGAAUACUACUUAUGAAUCUUCAUGGUGUAUCCUAGAGAAAGUAAUAUGAAGGUGUUUUUCGACUUGAUGCGUGAAAUAAGGUCACGCAAGAUUGAAGACAAGUCAGCAAGUAAUGGCCGUGAAAAGGAUCGUGCCAAGCGGAAGAAAAAGAAGUGCAUUAUUCUAUAGGUUUGCUAUUUUUUUCACAG